CCAACAGGGAUUACCUUAGUAACGGCGAGUGAAGCGGUAAGAGCUCAAAUUUGAAAUCUGGCACUCUCAGUGUCCGAGUUGUAAUUUGAAGAAGGUAACUUUGGGAUUGGCUCUUGUCUAUGUUCCUUGGAACAGGACGUCACAGAGGGUGAGAAUCCCGUGCGAUGAGAUGCCCAAUCCUUUGUAAAGUGCUUUCGAAGAGUCGAGUUGUUUGGGAAUGCAGCUCUAAGUGGGUGGUAAAUUCCAUCUAAAGCUAAAUAUUGGCGAGAGACCGAUAGCGAACAAGUACAGUGAUGGAAAGAUGAAAAGAACUUUGAAAAGAGAGUGAAAAAGUACGUGAAAUUGUUGAAAGGGAAGGGCUUGAGAUCAGACUUGGUGUUUUGUGAUUAUCUUUCCUUCUUGGAUUGUGCACUCGCAUUAUACUGGGCCAGCAUCGGUUUGGGUGGUAGGAUAAUGACAUUGGAAUGUGGCUCUACUUCGGUGGAGUGUUAUAGACUUUGUUGAUACUGCCUACCUAGACCGAGGACUGCGUCUUUUGACUAGGAUGCUGGCGUAAUGAUCUUAAGCCGCCC
rnacentral:rRNA from 1 species